GUGGGGAAAAUUGGACAAUGGGGGGAACCCUGAUCCAGCCAUGCCGCGUGUGUGAAGAAGGCCUUUUGGUUGUAAAGCACUUUAAGCGAGGAGGAGGCUACCGAGAUUAAUACUCUUGGAUAGUGGACGUUACUCGCAGAAUAAGCACCGGCUAACUCUGUGCCAGCAGCCGCGGUAAUACAGAGGGUGCAAGCGUUAAUCGGAUUUACUGGGCGUAAAGCGCGCGUAGGUGGCCAAUUAAGUCAAAUGUGAAAUCCCCGAGCUUAACUUGGGAAUUGCAUUCGAUACUGGUUGGCUAGAGUAUGGGAGAGGAUGGUAGAAUUCCAGGUGUAGCGGUGAAAUGCGUAGAGAUCUGGAGGAAUACCGAUGGCGAAGGCAGCCAUCUGGCCUAAUACUGACACUGAGGUGCGAAAGCAUGGGGAGCAAACAGGAUUAGAUACCCGUGUAGUCC
rnacentral:rRNA from 1 species